UAAAAAUAAUUAAAAAUAGAUAAGAAUGACAAAAACACACAACAACAUUACUAAAUCUAAAUCUGAAAGGAGAAAAUAUAAAAGAAAAAUCUAAUUCAAAAUAUUAUCAAACACUAUCACAGUAUCUCAGUGAUACUAAAAUAACACUGGCUGGUUGCCAAGCCAACAUUUAAAAUUUCCAUUUAGGUUUUUAAAGUUAUGUGUUUAUUCAAAUAUUUAUAUUUUAUUUCAACUUUAUUUCAAUGAGCAAACAUGAUUUGGAAUAGUUUUAGUUAACAAUAACAACACUUGUGUGUGUUUGAUUGGAUUGCUGUUGGGUUUUGACAGAAACUCAGGAGGGGCUCAGAUUCGUCCCACAGAGAUUCGCUCUGGAGCCCAGAAACAUCUCGUCCGAUCCGGCCAGUGUGUGUGGAGAUGCUCAGGAAGUGUCGAGAAACAUGCUGAGAUUUUGUUUGCCUCUUUAUGUUUUUACACAAAUUUAUUCAAUCGGUCUUUUGUUUCGAGUGACCCUGGGAAUCGCUGCGGCUUCCCUGACAAGCGCUGGAAGAAUUCCCUGAAAAACUUCACCAAACAACUGCUUCCACAUCAAUAAAAAUCAGAGACACCCAGACAGUGAAAGAAGUGAGUUCUGUUCCAGUGACUGUAAAUUGGAGACGUGUUUUCAGGCCGGAAGUCUGAACAAUAGAAGUGGACUGAACCCGACUGUUGUUUUUGAAGAGGGCCGUCCGUUGAGUGAUGCUCACUGGCACGCUACUGUCAACCGUCCCUUAGUCGCUGUCAAAAUAAAGUCCCUCCGCUCCUUCUCCUCUGCCAGCGUCUGCAGACACAUUUAGACAUGCGGAGGGGGAGUCGGCAUAUUUGAUUGGUCAUGGCGAUUGGACGGUCAUUAGCGUAAUGGGUUUGGCCUCUGAGCGUCUCCAAGUGUCUCUGUGAGGUGACAGCGCUGAAGUCACAUUAGCGCUCGCCUCUCAAACGUCUCAGAUUGAUGCGCUCUGUCUUAGCCGUGUAGGACACUUUGACGAGAUAAAAGUUUGUCCCCUCGGAGGCCGCGUGGGUGUUCGGUGCUGUAGCACGCCUGUCAAUCUGUUGGCAUUAGGGCAAAACCCGAGCAGUCCGCUGCAUGACACUUAAAAAAAGUCUAAUCACAGUAACUGAAUAAAACGCCACACGGAUUUCACUCUCUGGUCUCCAGCAUCUCCAUCUUUUUAGGGAUUAUGAAAAGGAUGCCAAAAAAACAAGAAAAUAAUAGAAAAAGAUUUGUUCACUAAACGGUCAACAUGUUUCGGUUAAAACAGCAGAAAAAAUGCCUGAGAAUUCAGCCUCCAGAGGACCCUGGGCUCCCGUUCACGACAGAAUCUGUCUUUAUCGUUUUCCCUGAGUGAAAGAGAGAGAGAGAGAGAGAGAGAGAGAGAGAGAGAGAGAGAGAGAUAGAGAGAGAGAGAGAUUGAUAGCAGAUGGUUGUCUCUAAAAUAAACCUAUCCAUUACCGGCAUAUAAGUUUACUGCUGUCUACACGCUCACUGUAACAUCUCUACACUCAAACACACACACACACACACACACACACACACACACACACACACACACACACACACACACACACACACAGAGUAAGAAUGAGUCUCUGCAGCCGCUCAGAGCACCAAUAGAGGUGUAAGACUCUUUAUUUGGAGGUUUUUCUCUCUGCUCUGGGAUUCAUAUCACAAAGAAUCAAAUUGUCAUUGAUGUUUAGAAAUAAAAGAGUUCAUUGUUCUAUCAUAUCACAACUUUGUUUUACACAUCAAAAUAAUGCAUUAAAUUGC
ensembl:lncRNA